CUAGUAGAUGAACGGCCAAAAACAGAAGAGUAUCUCAUGAAGAUUCUUUUUCUACAACCAAUAAAAAAUCGACACAUCUCAAUUUUAGGAAUCUUCUAUGAAUAGGAUUAUAGAGGGUUUGCAUGCAGUUAAUCACCCAAUAGUAAAAUCUGGCCACAAGAGCUGAACUAUAUUGCAUACACAAAGAUCUGAGGAAGGGUGUGAAACCUGAAAUAAUGUCCCUGCC
rnacentral:lncRNA from 1 species